GGCCUGUCUAGAGGACAAUUCAACAAUGGAUCUCAGAGGCCCAACUGGACUUCCAAAGGCCCAAUUUAUUUAUUAUGUAUACGGUGUUCUGUCUGUAAGUAUGCGUGCAGGCCAGAGGAGGGCACCAGAUCUCAUUACAGAUGGUUGCACGCCACUCUCACCCCUGAACCCACCUCAGAUGCCUGGGUGCAUGUGAUCAAGCGUAGCACAGAAGGAAGGUGGCCAGGUCCCAGCCACGGACAUUCAGAGAAAACAAACUCCAGGAACAAAAGGUGAGCUAAGACAUCAGUUCUCAGGCGCACAGUCUGCACCACCUGAGAAGGCCAUCUGGAGGAUCCAAGGCCGCUGCUGGACCAGCCCUCCUUGCCAGUGCGGGCAGAGCUGUUAUCAGAGAAAAGCAAACCACUGUCACCAACAGCUGGACACCAUGGGGUACAGGAAUGGAGGCUUUCAGGUCUCUGGCUCAGGCCAUCUGCUCUGUGACUCUGUGACCCCUGUGCCACUGGAGGAAACCAUCAAGCUCUGGGAAGACAAUGGUGGAGUCUAAAAAGUCUUACUUCUGCAUCUGCUUGGUGCAACUGUAUCAGGAUAAAAUCCUAUUUGCAACCUUUUCUAUACUGGGGGGGGGGGCAUAUGUACGGAUGCACAGAUGUGCAUGUGCAGGUGUGCACUUGUCCUUGGAGGCCAGAGCCAACACUCUUCACUUCACUUUUGGCAGCAGGGUCUCUCACUGAACCUGGAUUUUCCUGACUGCCUAGAUUCUGUCUCUAACUCCAAACUUCAACCCCCAGUGGUGAGGUUACAGACACAGAUACUGAGCAUCUGUAUACUACAAUAAAAAUAACAACAACAAACAGUGUCUCUUGCCUCUGCCACCUGUCAGGUGAUCUUUGCAGAACCACAUUUCUGGCUUUUCACCAAGCAGAGGUAUGCUGUCUGCUACUGUUGCCACCAUCACUGAUGUUUAAACAACACCUCCUAAGACAGGACCGGGGAUGUCUGGGGCCUCCAGGUCCUGUUCCUAUGCUCCACAUGCCUGCCUUCCCCUCUACCCAAGCCUGAGCCUCGUUCCAGAUUCUCCCUCAUUUGGCCAUGUGUGCCCACUUGAAGACGACUGCCUUCCUUGUGGAACCUGGUGAGCCAGAACUCAACUGCUACAAGCAAUUGCUAUUUAUGUCAGUUUGGAAAAGGACAGUGACCACUGUCUGAUUAACCCAGACUCUCCCUGCAGGUAGACUUACAUCUAAUACCCUAACGUGUGAACAGAGGAAAACAGAGGAGAGGCGCCACUGCAAGUAGGCGGGGAAUCUGUAUGCCCAGCUACUCAAGAGAUUCUGGAAGGUUCUACACACUUUCCUUCUCACCCGAGGGCAUCGCGGGUGGGUCAGGAAGACUCGCUGAGAUUGAAAUGGCUGCUGAGUUCCUUUCCAGCCCUGCUUACACAUGCUUCCACUGACUCAAUAAUGCCCUUAGGAAGAAACGGGGAGAGAGGCGUGGCAUUCAAAACUCAUUCUUCCAAGGGCAGCUCAUUCACCACGAUACUCUGGGAGGCUGGUGUCUAUAACAGGGCAGGAGAGGCUGGCAUCUGCCGUCAGCAAUACAAAGGCAAUGAACGCCACAUAUUCAGGCCAAGCAGCUGGGGACAAUGAAGCCAUGGAAGGAGCAGCGUGACCGAUAAAACCCACUGCAGGGGUGAUUUCUGAGACCCAAGAACAACAGAAGCACAGAAGUCUCACCUACAGUCCCAGUGCUCAGAAAGCAGUCUAUGAGCCCCUUGGCACAUCUGCCUCCAUUUCUGAAGAUGCUGUGGAGACGCCAUCACGGAGUCCAUGACCAGCCCACCCCCAUGCCCUGGACACUGUGGCUGCCAACUAGCAAACUCCAGGCUGCCUCUGAUCCAAGGGUGUGUUAAGUUUGUGCUACUUCGUGCUGCAAAAUGGGGAGAUUUUACCUGAGAAGCUGAACUGCUUCCAUCCUCAGAAUGUGGGAAGAUACACAAGGCAAGCCCUGAAGCGCCAGAGCCAACCAGCAAUGGCCCAGUUUCCCAUCCCUCCAGCACGUGCUAAGUUCACCCGCUUCAUUCUGCUUCUUCCCUGGUCCUGUACCCAUUUUAUAGGUGGAUUACCAAAGGCCCCAUCAUGUUACAUUGUCAAGGACUCAGAGCCACCACUAUCUGUAGACCAGGCUGGCCUUGAAC